CCCAUGCAUCGACCUUAACCACUCUUUCAAGUGGUGAAUAAUCAAACGACAAACAGUUUUAAAGACACAUGAAUCCAAACGCAGAGUGAUAAACGCAAUUACAUAGGCAAUUACUAGGACAAGUCACACACCAGUAUAUCGUGCACAAGAUAUGAAACAGGGCUAACCAAUCCUGCUCUAAAAUCUACACUAGGCGGUCAAACUAUCCUGGCUUUUUUGGCAGGCUUGUUCGUGACUUCUUCGUCUUCAGAGCAUGCACCAUCAGUUGCCGCAGCGCCGUCAAAUAUCGUCGAACAUGUGCUUCGAUUCAUAACUUGCUGCAUGGCUCGGUGGGAUUAACGCCAACAAGGGGUCGAAGUGGCCGCAACCCUCUUCAAGAUCAUGACCCACAGCGACGCAAUCCUGCAUGCAGAUAAGAACAAAUAUUCAGAUAAUCAACCGAUAAAGGAAUUCAGAAAAUAUCCAAUAUGGCAGAUUUUGUGAACGGGACCUCCUUCACUGAUACCAAAAAAACUGGCCACGAUGCUGUAAACUUUGCAUGUGCUUACAUUCUUUGUUCUUUUACCAUGUCCCCGGUGUACAUGUGUCGAUGCGACUUUCAAUGUAACUUCUCCAUACAGUUAACAGAGUUCAUGAUCAUUUCUGACCUAUGCUCGCACCCGUACGAACCGUUAUCAUCCGAUCUCAGUAGCCACAUCAUAGCAGUGCAGCCACACCGUUUUGAUCUGCUAUUGGACUGCAGUGGUUUACCCUGCAAAUGAUCUCGAACCAGACCGCAUAAGCACAUUGAAACACAGGCAAAUAGAAAAAAAAGAAUCUUGGGGCACAAGGACUUAAUAACCAGUUUAGCUCUGACUCACCGCGCAUGCAUGCACUUUAUCCCAUGGACAUUGAGUCGGCUCUUUGCAUACCGGACACCAAAGUCAGUCUCCCAAAGAGUACAAGUUGUAAAACUCAUAUACUUCUUCGACGGAAGCGAAGCUAGCUGGA
rnacentral:lncRNA from 1 species